rnacentral:siRNA from 1 species
CACCCAAUCAGAAGCAGCUACGUC